rnacentral:rRNA from 1 species
CCUACGGGCGGCAGCAGUGAGGAAUAUUGGUCAUUGGGCGCGAGCCUGAACCAGCCAAGUAGCGUGAAGGAUGACUGCCCUACGGGUUGUAAACUUCUUUUAUAAAGGAAUAAAGUGAGGCACGUGUGCCUUUUUGUAUGUACUUUAUGAAUAAGGAUCGGCUAACUCCGUGCCAGCAGCCGCGGUAAUACGGAGGAUCCGAGCGUUAUCCGGAUUUAUUGGGUUUAAAGGGAGCGUAGAUGGGUUGUUAAGUCAGUUGUUAAAGUUUGCGGCUCAACCGUAAAAUUGCAGUUGAUACUGGCAGUCUUGAGUACAGUUGAGGUAGGCGGAAUUCGUGGUGUAGCGGUGAAAUGCUUAGAUAUCACGAAGAACUCCGAUUGCGAAGGCAGCAUACUAACCUGCCACUGACAUUGAUGCUCGAAAGUGUGGGUAUCGAACAGGAUUAGAUACCCGUGUAGUC